UGUAGAUCACUAGCAGUUCUGCUCAAUAAAUAAACUGUUUCAGUGAUCACCAUUUCAAUAUGUUUUUAAAAAACUAUUACCCGUUUCUAAAAUUCAGAGGCCCAACAUCGCGAGACUUCCAAACGCAGGUUCGGCAGACCAGGGGCCUCGUUACACAUUACAUAUCUGCGUGCUCCAUUUCUGAAAAGACUGCGCAAUUACACAAAUAGUAAGAUUUAUAAACUUGGCGUACGCCUGUUUGCCGUCCUGAAACUGCGCGCGUGAAUGAGCAUUAAAACUCUGCCUGAAAAACGUCCAUCAUUCAUCGUUUUAUAACGCGCUCAUUUGCUGUGUACUUUGUAAGAAUUGGAAUUAGGCCAAGGCCGUUUAAAGGAAAUAUAGCAACGGCGGAACUUGAUCAAAUGUCUCUGGAGGUGUUGGCAGACUGUUUAAAACUUUUACAGUGACAUUUGCUAUAUUUUGACCAUUUCUGAAAGAACUACAAUUGAAAAUGGUCGUGGACCUGUAAACGGAUCGUUUGAAUUCAAUAGCCUAAUGAUUUGCGAUUACUUUUCCCCGAACGUAAAUAUUCUGCACUGGCCGCGAAUUCUGAAACAUUAUUUGAGUGGACAGACUAGACAAUGUAAAACUAUACAAUAAGCCUAUGCCUAGUUACAGUGGAAGGCCCUAUAACCUACACACGUCAAAGUAAAAUAUGAACUCUGUUCAUCGGUUAAAUUCUACCCCCCCCCCUUGGAUACAGGCUAUUAUUUCAAGUAUUUUACUCUAUUACAUACAAUUUAAAUGAGACUGGCGUGGUCAUUCGCUGUAAACUAAAGCUUCUUCGGGAAUAUGAACGCAUCAUGGCCAGAAAAAGUGGCGUGGGAUAUAUUCUGCAAUGAUUAUGAAAAUAUAUAUUAUGUUUAUAAAUUAAAUAUUGUUUACUUGAGACAAAAUAAAGACAAAAUAAACGAAAAUUGGAAAGAUGACCCUUCUGUUUUUACCAUUAAUGCGCUUCAGAUCACAUAGAGCAAAAUUCUUCAAAUAGUUGAUCUAUUUACUACUGUAAAGUGGUUCCAAUGAAAUGAGGGAUGGGACGUUUGUAGGCCUAUAGGCUACUUCACGAGUAUGGAACCACCACAGUCCAAAAAGGAAAGAAAUGUAUUCUGCAAUGAUCAUGGAAAUAAAAUGGUAAAUAGAUGCCUAAUUUAUUUCCAGGAUGUAUCACAUCCGGUCGUAAUUGGGAGACCCAUAGGGCGGCGCAUAAUUGGCCCAGCUUCGUCCGGGUUUGGCCGGGUAUAGGCCAUCAUUGUAAAUAAGAAUUUGUUCUUAACUGACUUGCCUAGUUAAAUAAAUAGAAAAUACACUUUACAAUGGAAAGCUGAAGAAAAAAAUGGAUCUCCACUAACAGAAUCUUGUUAUUAUUUUGAAUAAGAGUGCCAUCACCAGACUCCCUGCAGCUCUCUGUCUCUGAGGAGGAGGUUCUCCCUGAGCAGCAGCACUGUGAGCAGGAGUGGAGCCCCACUCUGGGGCAGGAGAACCCAGAACAUCCACAGAUUAAAGAGGAACAGGAGGAACUCAGGACCAGUCUGGAGGCUGAUAUCAUAGAGUUCAAAUUCAUUCCUUCCUGUGUGAAAAGUGAAUGUGAUCAGGAGGACCCACUUCAGUCCUUUACUCUUCCCCAAACCCAGAAUGUGGAGAACAGAGAGAGUGACCCUAAACAAGUGGAACUCACACCUUUUGUUACUGUGACCCAACUAAAGGGUCUCUACAUUCCCUGUGACCCUCCAGAUAAUCAAAACAAUGCCUCCAGCCACAGCUCAGCCGUAAGCAGCGACCCAGCGGCACUUGACAGCAGCCCAUCGUUGGAUCCCAACCCACCAUUGGAUUCCAACCCACCAUUGGAUUCCAGUCCGUCAUUGGAUCCAAACCAGUCAAUGGUGGAACACUGUUUCAAACCCAGCACCAUGUCUAGAAAAACUCACCGCUGCCAUGACUGUGGCGAAAUGUUUGCAAUGAAAGCUGACCUGCAGAGGCAUGUGACUCUAUUUAAGAAGAGGCCCAGUGAAUGUCGCUUCUGCAAAAGAAACUACAACUCCACCUGUAAACUAAAGGCCCAUAUCCGACUCUGUCACAGUGGGAAACCCUACACCUGCCCUGUUUGUGGCAAGACCUUCAAACUCAAAGGGAAUCUGUCCAAGCACAUGAGGAUUCACACAGGAGUGGGAGAGAAACCAUUUAGCUGUGGAGACUGUGGGAAAAGCUUCUAUCAGAAGGGGGACUUAAGUAGGCAUAUACGGACUCACACAGGAGAGAAAUUAUUUAUCUGUGGUGAUUGUGGGAAAAGCUUCAAUUUGAAAGGGAACCUUAGGAAGCACAAACUGACUCACACAGGAGAGAAACCCUUUCUCUGUGAUGACUGUGGGAAAGGCUUCAGUCAGAAGGGGACCCUAAGGAAGCAUAAACUGACUCACACAGGAGAGAAACCAUUUAGCUGUGGAGACUGUGGGAAAAGCUUCAGUCAGAAGGGGACCCUAAGGAAGCAUAAACUGACUCACACAGGAAAGAAAUCAUUUAGCUGUGAUGACCGUGGGAGGGGGGGUGAAUGAGCCAAGUGGAAGCUGGGGAUGAUUAGGUGGUGGAGAGGGCCAGAUUGGGAAUGUAGUCUCUCUUGCCCUCUUUCUGUGUGUGUAAGAACUGGUUUAAAUGCAUUAUUGUUUUUUUCAGUCACAUUUCAUUAACAUUCUUUAUAAUUGCUGUUCA